rnacentral:rRNA from 1 species
UACAGAGGGGGCAAGCGUUGUUCGGAAUUACUGGGCGUAAAGGGCGCGUAGGCGGUCUGCUAAGUCGAACGUGAAAUCCCCGAGCUCAACUCGGGAACUGCGUCCGAUACUGACAGGCUUGAAUCCGGGAGAGGGAUGCGGAAUUCCAGGUGUAGCGGUGAAAUGCGUAGAUAUCUGGAGGAACACCGGUGGCGAAGGCGGCAUCCUGGACCGGCAUUGACGCUGAGGCGCGAAAGCUAGGGGAGCAAACGGG